rnacentral:snRNA from 1 species
GUGCUCACUUUGGCAGCACAUAUACUAAAACUGGAACGAUACAGAGAUUAGCAUGGCCCCUGUGCAAGGAUGACACAUAAAUUCGUGAAGCAUUGAAAAAAAGU